rnacentral:rRNA from 1 species
GCGAAAGUGACGGUACCUACAAAAGAAGCACCGGCUAACUAUGUGCCAGCAGCCGCGGUAAUACAUAGGGUGCAAGCGUUGUCCGGAAUUAUUGGGCGUAAAGAGCUCGUAGGUCGUUUGUUACGUCGGAUGUGAAAACCUGAGGCUCAACCUCAGGCCUGCAUUCGAUACGGGCAAACUAGAGUUUGGUAGGGGAGACUGGAAUUCCUGGUGUAGCGGUGGAAUGCGCAGAUAUCAGGAGGAACACCAAUGGCGAAGGCAGGUCUCUGGGCCAAUACUGACACUGAGGAGCGAAAGUCUGGGGAGCGAACAGGAUUAGAUACCCUGGUAGUCCAGACCGUAAACGGUGGGCACUAGUUGUGGGAACCUUCCACGGUUUCUGCGACGCAGCUAACGCAUUAAGUGCCCCGCCUGGGGAGUACGAUCGCAAGAUUAAAACUC